UAGCGAGCAGUUUGCGCUGCUGCGAUCGCGCGAUGUCACGCCACCGGCGACAAGCCUCCCAGUCUCUCCCGGCGUCGUUCGACGUUACGGCGGAGGAGGAGCCGCCGCCCAAGGUGGCGCCUGAGGGCGCGGGUCAUGGCAAUGCUGACGGUGGGAAGUCCCUGGGUGGUGAUGCUGCAAGGAAGGCGCUGCCGCCCGGCGGGGAAAGCUCUGGUGUUAAGUCCAAGGAGAAGCCCUCCGCUGUUGCGUCUUGAGUAGAAGAUGGUGUAGUGAUGAAGAGGAUCGAGAGAGUGUUAUGCUCAUCCGUUGUCUCUGCUCUCUCUCUCUCUCUCUCUCUCUCUCUGUAGUAGUAGUACUAGUGCUACUUGGUAAACCUUUUGCAGUUCACGUAAGAAUAAUUCCAUGUGUGCUUGUCCAGUUGAACCAUGUCAUGAAGGAAUGUCUAUGCUGAACUAUCCAAGAUCAAUCGUAUAUCAUUAAGAAUUUUAAUUUACAGCCAAAGGUAGAUUUACAAGGUUUAUCAUUUGACAAGGAUAUAUAUGAAGAUCACCUUCCCAUUGGUAUCACUUAAGGUAAAACCAGUUCAAGCAAGCACAUGAUGAAUCAAAAGAUUAGAAUGGUCAACAUCCAUCUCCAUGAGGUUGAUGCUUGAAUUCAAAUUUGGCCUGGAUUUAACCCAGACUUGUCGAAGUAGCAAAGCUUAGAUCGCAAGUUUGACUUUCCCAACUAGCCUAGCUUGGUCAAAUCGGCGUCCUCAUCUCAGCUUUCGCACACCCUCACUGACUUCUUCUCUCAGAAGCCGAGAUCGAAACCAGUCAAGAAAAAGAAUGUGUAUUGCCAAUAUCAGCUGCCAACCAACCCUAGUGCUGAAGGAAGUCACAAAGACAAGGUGAAAUGUGCUGCUGCUUGCCACUAGAAUAAUAUUUUAGAGAGGUAGAAAGAGUCAAACAUUACCACCAACUCACACAAUAAUAAGAAUAGGAUGAUGGUUCAUUGAUGGAGGAAGACUGUUGAGUCCGAGGCAUGUUUAGCAUUGUCCUCAAAAGUAGUUUUUAAGUUAUCCUUUACUUAGAAUAAUAGGUUUCAAACACAGAUAUCUGUCAGCUCAAAAAAUGUUGGAAAAUACGAUAAAGAAGAAGAUGAAAAACACUAUGAAAACAAAUAACAAACAUAAGAUCAAGAAUAUUAUAGGAAAUAUUUAGACUUGAAACGUGUAUAAACACUUUCCUAAAAAUAAUAUUUGUACCUUCUUCUCAAUAAGAUUGUUAUGGGUUUGAUGCAAAUAAUUUUAGUGGAUAUGACAAGCCUUUAGAAGAUCCGUAUUGAGUAAACAGAAUCUUCAAAUAGAAAUUAGAGAAAGUCUAAUUCAAUCACUUAGAAAAUAAAGAAUAAGAGUAUGAAAGAGAUGUCUACAUGAUUUACCCUCAAAUACCUAUUUAUAGAUAUUUUCUCAAACACACAACCUUUCAAAAAUAACUACCAAAAUAACUAAAAAAAAAUCACCUUUUCAAAUAAAUCUUUUGAAAAGAAUUUUUUUUUCUUUUUAAUUUGAACAAUUUAUAACAAAAACACACCAAAGAAUGAAAGUAAUUAAAUUUCACUAUAAACUUGAUCAAAUUUCACUAAAUAAAUUCAAACUUUAACAAAUAAAAAAAUAUAAUAAAAACUCUUAUAAAACUGACAGGAUAUGAUUCUAAGAUGAUUAAUAAUAUAUUUUUUAAUAAUUUUAUGAUAAUUAAUUAUUGAAUUUUUUAAAAAAAUUAAUAGGUUCAAAGAUUAAAAAUAAUUUAAUUAAAAUUAGAGUAUUAUUUGAUUAAAUAAAAUUUUAUAAAAUCAGUUCAUCCUAAAAAAAUCGGUUCAUUCUGUCCAAAAGUCAAAUCGAGUCAAUGUCUGAAUAAUUUCGUCCGAGAGAAAAAAGGCAUCCGGUAAAAUGCCCGUUUUACUUUUACAAUAAUAUUUAUCUCGUUCCAAACGUAGCCCGAAACAAUGGGAAUAUGAUAUCUAUAUAUUAAAGGCCGAUGCCUUGCACCAGCAGAGCAUCCGUCGCAGCGAUCGAGGGAGGCAAGCCGAGAGAGAGAGAGAGAGAGAGAGAGCGAGAGAGAGAGAGAGGAGAUGGAAGCGGCGGCUUUGGCGACGAGACCGAUUGUGAAGGUGGCAGCGCUCUGCGGUUCCCUCCGCAAGGCUUCCAUGAACUGCGGCCUCAUCCGCUCCGGCAAGCCACCCUCAACCCUCUUCCCGUUGCCCUCUUCCUUGUGAAGCUGUUAGUUCUGAUUCCCUUUCUCUGUUCUUCUUCCUCUGUAGCCAUUCAGCUAUGCGACGAGUCCAUCGAGGGCAUGACGAUCGAGUACGUGGACAUCGCGCCGCUCCCAUUCGUCAACACCGACCUCGAGGUCGACGGCACGUUCCCCGAGCCCGUGGAGGCCUUCCGGCAGACGAUCCGCGGAGCCGACGCCAUCCUAUUUGCUUCGCCCGAGUACAACUACUCCUUCACGGGUAACCCACCAUCCAAAUCCAAACUUGCCUUAAACCCUAUUGGUUCUCGUUUGAUCGUCUUCUUCAUUGCUGCUGCUCUGUACUCUGUUAAAGAUCCUUUCUUUCGAUUGUGUUGCGGAUUCUUUUGAUUUUUUAUAUAUUUUCUGAUGCCACUUUGUCUGUUAAAUUAUUUGUUCUCGUAGACAUCUUAGCCUUGCACAAACUAAAUGAUUUUGUAGUGAAUGUGCAGGGAGUUCUUUGAUGCGCCCUGUAAGUAUGUCCUUGAUAACACUAAUGCAGACGGACACACUUUUGCUUUAGAUUUAGUUUGAUUGUCUUUUCGUUCAUGAAUUAAAUGGUAAAGCCUUCUGCAAGGAAGGAUGAAGCCAAUUGUUUUUGUUCUUUGCAAGAUAUAGUUCUAUGAAACUGAUAUUAAAUAAUAGCAACCUUCAUCAUUUCUGGUGAUUUAGUACCAGAAACAUGAAGUAAUUUUUACAUCCUUUGCAAGAUAUAUUUUUCUGAAAUUGGUAUUAGAUAUGUCCCUAUAUUGAUGAGUUACAACCUAUAACUUCCAUUGAUAUCCUUGAUCCAGCAUACAAAACACUUCGAAACUCUUAAAACUCCGAAGCCACAGACACCAUGGUUUAUAAUAGCUGUUCAAAUAAAAAUUGGCAGCAGAUCAUACAGCUUCGAAUUGCUUGGUGCCACUCAUAAUUUGUUUUAUUUUUAUCAUUUUUCUAGUUAUUUUGGAUCAUAUAGGACUGCCCAAAUAAGCACUGGCAGCAGGUCAUACAGCUUAGAAUUUCUCUAAUAUUUCUUUGUUUUUAUUAUCUUUCCUGUUAUUUUGGGAUGUACAGGUUCUUAAUGUUGCUCUACAUAUUGGUAUAUGGUGGUAGCAUGCCAAUUUGAUAGGUUGUUGAAAUCAAUAUUAGAUUGGUAUUUAAAACCUUGAUACAUAAUUUUUUGAAUAACUACAUACUGAUUAUAGAUUAUUAUAUUUAGGUGAACAAUGAAAGGAAUAAUGAAAAAUAAAGGAAAGAAGAAACUCACAAGAUAGCUUUGUUCCUCCACGUGUUCAUGUCAUCCUUCUAGGCUGGUCCUUUUAUGGCAUACCCUUAUGCUUCAUAUCCUAGAUCAGUAAUACAGUACUAUUUCGAAGAGAUGUUUAAUGUUAAGCACUUCUCAGGCUAUAAAACUAAAUUUUAUCCACUUACCACAGGAUAGAGGACUUCCUCUAACACUUCUUACUUUAUGCCAAGUUUAUUAUAACACAAUUGUAGGAAUGGCAAAAAUGAUUGGAAUGAUGUGUAAGGCAUAAUUCACAUCUCAUACCCUGUAUGUCAGUUACCAUGGUUGUAAUGGUUUUGAAUCUGUACAUGUUCAUCAAACUUUGGCAAUGAAAAUGAUCAUCUGUUGCACUGGAUAAAAGUGGACAAUGUUAUGAACCUAUUAGUGAUCAUUCUUUCUCUACUAAAUUUUCAAUGUAUUUCCCGAUAUUGUGAGUCGAUUAGCUUGGCAUGCUGGCAUAAUGAGCCUCUAUAAGACAUUAAUCUAAGUUGGCAAGCAAGAUCGAGUUGACAACCUGAUAAACAUUUUCUUUAAGUUAAAUAAGCUCAAGAAUGCUUAGGUUGUAAACUAACAUUCAAUUAUUAGUAUUCAUAAAAGAAGGGUCUUACAUGUGUUGCAGAUUCUAGAUGUUGCUUUUUCUCUUAGUAUCAGAUUAAAUUGUCCAUCUGCAUUCACUUAAAUCUAGCAAUUUCAUGAUGGGCUGGAGUCUCUUACAUAUGUGUAUGGCAUCAUCACACUCCCUUUGGUAGCAUCAACUAGUUCAGGAUAUUCAGAUAGAUGAUUUUGGAUGAAAUGUGCAUUUUGUCAGAUCCCCACAAAAGUACAAAACAGGUUUAUAGAUGUCUUCACCCUUUUUUCUUGUUUAUAUGUAGGUCCUUUAAAGAAUGCUAUUGACUGGGCAUCAAGACCUCCAAACGUAAUGGCAGACAAGCCUGCUGCUAUUAUAAGCGCUGGUGGUGGUUUUGGAGGAGGAAACUCUCAGCUCCAUCUUCGCCAGGUUGGAGUUUUUCUGGAUCUUCAUUUCAUCAACAAGCCGGAACUCUUUGUCCAUGCAUUCCAGCCUCCACCAAAAUUUGACAGAGAUGGAAAUCUUAUUGAUCCUGAGAUUAAAGAACGGCUAAAGCAACUACUUUUAUCGCUCAAGGCUUUCACCCUUCGGCUUCAGAACAAAUGCUGAAUAUUUAGAUCAACUGAACAUUGCAGUUGACCAAUUGAAGCGAUAUAAGUGUUUGUGUUAUUAAGCAGACAAUAUUUGCUGGAUUUACUAUAAUUAUGUUUCCUGUGUUAUUUAUCUGGCUACAUUUGGUGAUUUUACUAAAAUAAGCAGGAGGUCAUGUGAUUUUUCUUUUAAGCUUGUUGUACUGUUCAAUGACUCUGCAAUUUAAUGUUAUUAUUUUUAUCCAGCGUCUCAUCAAAUUGAUUUGUUGCUAUCAGUGUUUCCAGUCUGACCAUGAACCAUAUAAUGGACAAUAUAUAUUGGUAGAAAUCUGUGUUCAAUUUUCUUUUUUCUUUUUCUCUCUCUUUAUGAUGUUGAACACUAUAUCUUAAAUAUACUGAUAUCAUAUCUAUCUGAUGGACACCCAAGAUUUAAAUACUUUCCAUUAUUGCUUAUUCAACAGGUUUCCAUAAAUAUUUUUAUGGAUAUUGUAUGUCCUUACAAAAGCAAAUCUUUACCCAUAUCUUCCUUUUUGUUUUGCCUACAUGUAUCUUUUAUCUAUCACCAAGGAGAACAGCAUCCACCUAUAAAAUGCCUUUUUGGUAUGAUCCAUAUGUAGGUCAGACUUAUGAGUUAGUCAUUUUCCUCCAAAAAAAAAAAAGACAUCAUCUACACUAUAUUAUUUUGGGUGAAUUCUUAAAAAAAAAAAAGCCUCAUCUUUCAUCUUUUUCCCUGCUAAAUGCCUCUCUUUUUGAAAUUUUCAUAGAAUGCUUAAUUUUUCUCCCCUUAUAGAAAUAUCUUUGUACUAUUUUUCUUCAUAUGUUCCACCAAAAGAAGUCAUCUUUAUAGUUUGAGGGAAAUUACGAUAUUAUUGAAAAAAUGGAAAUUCAUAAAAUAGGGGCUUUUCUUUUCCAAGAAUUUGCACUAUAUCAUAUGUCAGUAAGCAAAUGACCAUUAAAUUCUCAAAAAAGUUCUGCAUAAGAUAGUCUGAUAUGAACGUUUAUUCGGACUAUAUAUUGCUUAUGAUCUCAUUGUCACAUGUUAUGUCAUUUCAUCAGUUUUGCUGCUUCCCUUUUGAUCACACUGUAAUAGUGAGUACUCAGGGAAAAAUAUAUCUCCUUACUAAAAUUCCACAUAAAUUAUUUCCACCUUGUUCUUGAUGACUGCUUAAGUAGCAUAAACCUUAUCACACUUGCAGAAUGCAGCUGGAGGCAUCUUGGGGAUGGCCUGUGGUCUGCUACUUGAAAGAGCUCUGUUUUAGUUAGAGCUUCCAGUAGAUAUAUUGAAUCCUGAACUCUGCCUCAUAUUGAAAGACAACUUCUUUAGCAUUUAUCAUAAUGAUCUAUUCCUACUAGAUUUGAUUUAAGUGAAGAUGAGCUGCAUCAUAAUAGAUAAAUAUACUGACAAAUAUAAAAGAAUAAUCUUAGGGAGACGUGAUAGACUUGAAUGUUGAAAAGAAAUCAUGUGUAAGUAAAGAUUGAGAUAAGAUUAAGAGUAGUUUAUAUAGUUUAGAGAUCAAAGAAAGUGGAGCUUUUAUAUUAUCAACCCACAACUUAAAUAAGCUUAAACUUUGGACUUCAGUUAAGAUGAGUCUUGCAAGAGGCCUCGAGCCAAGUCUUCUAGAUUUCCUUUCCAUAUGCUGGUAAUCAACUUGGAAACUUCUACCCAAGUUUUCCAUCCUGUUUUCGUUGACAUCAUGGAUGAGGGUCUUCCUUCAAUGUGGUUCCAUCAUUGGAUUUGAUAGGUGAAGUCAUUCUAGAUCUCCAAGUUGAAGUUUCACCAAACAUAUCUUGACCAGAAGAUAGAUAGACUUGCAACAUUGACUCUUUCUUUUUAAUUUAGUGGUCUUCUUUUUUUUUUUAUUGUUCUCAGAGUGAUUACUGCAUCACUAAUCUGUUCUUGGUUUAUUAUCCUGUUCUAAUAUGAGAGGAAACAUAUAUUCUGAUGCAGUGAUACAAGUACUUAAAUUAUUUGCGUUCUUCUCUUGCUGCACAGACAUGUAAACUCAAAGCAAGAACUCAAUCCUUAGCUUCAAACUUUACUUUGGCUUGUGAAUACUAAAUUCUAAGUUUUGCCGAAAGUAUAGAAGAAUAAUGUUGGAAUUUUCACAAUCUUUUCCUGCAAGGAUGCAUUUUAUAUUGUUUUAGACUGACUGAAUCUAGAUUCUCUGAAAUGUCAAAAGUGUUGAACUUUACUGAUAUCCCUCUUGUUACUAUUGCUUUGUAUUGUGCUUACUAGCAACAAAAAGAUGUACAUUAGCUCAACCUGUUGCUCCUGACAUUUCCAUCAUUUUACUGAGCAAAAGCCUGAAUCAGAAGCUUUACUAGUGUACUAUCCAAUCAGAUUAUUUCUAGUUCCUUUUUUUUUUUCCAAGUUGCAGAAGAAACAAUGAUAUCAGACAGCAUGAGGCAACUCGAUGUAGUUUUUCAUAAAUCUAGUUUAUUAUCGACUUCAUCCUUCAACAAUUUACAUUUCCUAAUUCUCGAUAGCUUCGAGCAGCACAAAAUUUGCAUCAUUUGGAGGUAUUUGUAUGUAAAUUUCCUGGCAACACUAAUGCUACCUGAAAAAGGAACUAAUGAUCUUUCUGGUUGAUGAAUGUGUGUAAUCAUAUCAAGCUAUUAUUAGACAGUCUCGGUCUUCUCCUCUCAGGUGAGAGUUCCUCAUCCCUGGCUUUUCUUUUGUUGCUGCUGAUGCUGGUGUUGCUGGUUUCUUCUUCUUGUUGUAGCUGCUGCUCUUUUGAUUUCCCCUUCAGUAUGUGAGGCCUGAGUCUUUUCAUGUCUGAGAGCUGCACUGGCUUCAGGAAGAAUUCUUCUGCUCCUCCUUCCAGGCAUCUGCGAGCAGCACACAUCAAAGCAAUUCCACCUUAGAUGUAAAGAUACAGACACCACAGGUGGGGUCUCUCUCUCUCCCCUUCUUUUUCUCAUCACAUCAACUUCAGAAUAUUGAGCAAAUCUAACAAGAGCAAGGAAAAGAUUAUGACAUGUUUGACUAAGUUGCAGAAAAGGAUUGUCUUUUCCCCUGAUUCCUUCCCUGAUUUGACCACAAGAACAGAUGACAUCUAGGCAACUUUUCCAUCACAUAAAAUUUAUUGGAAUAAAAAUGCAUAGGACCACAAGUUCCUCAAGUAUGGGCAAGCAUAGAGAGAUAUCAGAAGGUUCUAAUUAAUGCAGAACCCAAAUCUGCUUCUUUUUCCUUUUAUCAAGGGUUCUUAAUUGAAGGAAGAAAACCUCUCCAGUUCGCAUUGGCAAUAUCAAGUCCCAUCAUCACAUCAGGAUGUGUUGCUUCAUUCAUGAGCACCAAAAAGGACCCUUUUACCAAAUUUGGCAUCAAGAAUAAUAUUCUUUCCAGAAUCAAGAAGAGUAGUUGAAUUUCUCUUCUUGUAUUUUGAUUUUGUUGGUGUCAAUCAGGAUGUUUCAAUCAAAAAAAUAAAUCUUUUAAAUAAUGAUGCAAAUGUUUAAUUCAAGCAGGAUUUAUGGCCUAAAAAUUUGAGGGAAAUUUUCCUCUGAUGAAUGAUAGCCAAAUGCAUGACUGUGACAAGCAACCAACCAAAGAGUAAUUAUUUCAGAAUCUUCAAGAACAUCAUAUAUCUUCCUGGUAAAUAAUCAUCAUAUCUCAAGCAACUUUUCCAAAAGAAAUUGCCACCACAAGGAAGGAAUUUGCUGAUCAUUCCUCACCUGUUUAUCCUGGAAGGCACAUUUUCGGAUGACAUGAUCACUACUGGGAUGUCCUUCAAAGAUGAUGAACCCUUAUGUGAAAUGAACAAGCUCCCCAUAAAUCUCUUGAAACAUGUCCAUGAAAUGGAAAUGUGAGGGAGCAUCGACUGUACCUUAAUCUUUUUGAGAAGGUCAUACCCUGUCAUCCCAGGCAUGCAGUAAUCUGUUAUGACCAGAUUUACCUCGAUCUCCUGUAAGAAGAAGAGAAACAAUCCCAGUUUCAGAAAAAGAAAGAAAGGGAGAACAAAAGGAUCCAUGACACAGAAAAGAAGAAAGCAAUCACAUUGUGAGCUGGAGAGACGGCUGCGGAGCUUGUGAGGUCCUCGCUCAACCCCAAGACUUCAAGAGCCCUGCUCCCAGAAUCCACAGCGGUGACUGCAGGCACCACCGCCAACUUGUCAAAGAGAGAAGGAAAGGAAACCAAUUCAAAGCAGGAAUCACUGGCAUCACCAGAGGUUUGGUACCUUGGAAGGAAGAAGUCUUUAGGAGCCUCUCAAUGAGUUUCCUGUCCAUGAGGCUGUCAUCCACAGCCAGCACAUGGAAUUGGGCUUCUGCAACAACAGCCAUGAGCUUCCCCCCUCCCAACAAUGGCCAAGAGCUAGAGAAGAAGAAGGCAGAGGAGGUGGAGUCUCGGUUUCUUCACUCCAAAUGGACUCUACAAGCCAGCAAGGUACUGAAAUAUAAGCCAAUUUCCAACCCACCAAAUCCCACCUCCUCUUGGAAAGGAAGAUCCACCAGAUUUCACCCAUAUCUCCCCAUGUCCAAACAAAGAUAGAGACUUGUAUUUCUCUCACUACAUGUAAUAUAUUGGUGAUCUUACGCUGUUCUUAGUACAAGGCAUAUCUAAACUCCACCCUCAGCAGCAGUUAACUUAAAGGAAGACUCACACAGAUCAUGAUUCCUCGAGCCGUAAGAGUAGUGUGGGGGUCUCGUGAAGGGUGAGGUAGGGAAUGGGGUUGGGGAGUUCCCGAGGGACAAGUUAGCAACGAAUGGUUUUAGCCAUGUGAUUUGGGGUGGCUUUAAAAGGUAGCAGUGGCAGUGGUGGUGGCCCACCUGAUUCUGGCCUUAGAUACGCUGAUGUCAGCUGGCCCCACCAUUUUCCAGUUGGGUGAAAUCUUAAUCGUGUGGUCUUCGUUGCCAUGUCACAUUACCCCACAGACAUUUGGGAGGCAAUUCCAUGUGAUAUCUCCAGAUUUGCCCCUCUCUCUCUCUCUCUCUCUCUCAUGUAUCUUCCUCAAUCCUUCUUUAUCUCUAAUAAGACACCAAAAUCUUUAGAGAGCACUUCUUUAUCUUCACAAGUGAUCUCAGUAAUAAGGAAAGGAAUGCAGAAUCAUGCAUAGUUGGCAGAUAACUGGUACAUCUCAAACUCUGGCAAGACUUGAUAGCAUAAGAAGACCAAAUCUUCAGCCACCACCUUCUUUUAUCUUCACGACUGAUAUCAGCAAUAAGAAAAGGGAUGCAUUGGAACAUGCAUGCAUGAGCAGGUAGAUAGAUAAAGCAGCACAAGAAACAUGCCUUUUGGUGAUGAGUUUUCUGAUGAUAGCAUGCAAAUAUAUACCAUCUCUUAGCAAAUUGGAAGAGCUGGUAAGUUAGUAUUAGCUUCUUCAAAUCAGUCUUAUGAUGCUAUCAAGCAAGUCUUUGAUGGCCCUCUCACCCACUUCAAGUAUCUGUUACCACAAAACUAAAAACUUCAGUGGAGAAAAAGCAUUUUAAAUGCCAAACAUCUAAGAUCUUUUUUUAAUUAGAUUGAAUAAGGUUGAUCUGCUCAUCUGCUUCCAGAGAUACAAGUCUUCACCCUCCCAUGGGUUAUUAAAAUGUCAACAAGGAUGCUGUUUCAUCAAGAACAUCCAAAUCACAUGUUGGACUGCACUAGUAGAGUAAUAUCUGCUGUGGUCAUGAGGAGGGUUGCUAAAGCUUAAUGUUGUGAGAUAAUGGAACUCCUAGAACUGUGUCAGUAUGAGUAACCUAAAAGGAGGGAAAUAUAUGUUAUUUUUUAUGUUGUUGUUUUCUUCAUAUUAUGGAUGGAUUUGCAUCAAGUUUUAAGCAUACCAUAAAGCUUUUCCCUUGAUUUACAUAUAUAGUAACCAAUAACAAAAUUAAGUAUCACUUGGCAUUUUGGUAAGCUAACAAAGUAGUUUGUGUAUAUUGAAUGUGGCAUUUCAUUAUAAUUUGUGAAGUGAAUGAUGCAACUUAUGACUCCGUAAAUCUUAAUUUACAUAUAUCCAAACUAUUUAUCUUUGGUCAAGAUUCCUCCAUAACUUGUAGUUUGCAUUUGGAUUAAAAUUUAUCUAUAAGAAGUGACAUUUGCUUGAUAUAGAACAUUAUCACCAUCCUUCUCUCUCUUUUUCUUCACCAAAUUAACUUUGUUGUCACACCUUUAUCAAAACCAACGAAAAAGAAUAGCCACUGCAUCAAAUAGAAACUGGAAAUGGCCCAAUGGCAUGUUUGUUUUAUAGAAAGCAAAAAAGAUUGGCUUUUGAGGUGUAGUUGCAUUGAACUUGCUUUCUUUAAUGACAUUUGGUUGUUGGCCACAGUACAAGUCAAAAGACAAAAGAAAGAAAGAAAAAAAGAAAAGAAAAGGUGAGGAUUCACAGGUCCUAUUGGGUUAAUCAUGUUGAGUUUGACCUGGUCAGAUUAUUGUUUUUGAACUAGAACAAUGGAUUGUUCCAUGUAGCUUAAUUUGUGUAAUAUACAUAUGUAUAGUUGUCUUGAAACAAUGUGAUUGUGUCAAAUUCAUAUUAAUUCAUAGCUUGCUAAGCUCAGUUUUGAGGACUUUAACAGCUCUUAAAGAACUUGAAGCUUUGGAGAGUCAGGCAGUGGAAAUAUUUCAGACUCAAUGGAACUCAACUUCUGUUCCUUGUUCAACAAUCGAUGGGCAGAUGACUUCAAUGUCUUUUUCAACGAGCAUGCAGCUCAUGCUCUGCCCAUCACCACAUGGAUUGAAAUGAGUUCUCAGUAAAUGAGACUUGGAACUUUCUGAUCAGAUAUAAUGUACCUUCUUUGUGACCAUGCAUCUGAGUUUGUUUGACACACGGAGGGAGAAAAUUAAUAGAAAAAUCAGACAUGCAAUCAUGUGAAGAUAACACACCAAUUUAGAUUUCUAAUCAAAUCAGUUUGGGGGUGUGAGUCCACAGUUUGGUACCAUUGGCUUGCCAGAUCCAGAUUUCAUUCCUAGGUGGACAUGACCAAAUCAAAUCUUUUAUUUUGUUGUCCUUGAAACUGAUACAUGAGUUUAAUAAAUGAUCCCUUGAGUGACAUGAAGCAAGGUGUUGCAUUGCUAGUGGGAGGAUAAACAAGCCAAAUCCACUGUUUUUGUUUCAUCCAUCAUGUAUAAUAUGUCACUAAACCUCUAGCUGAGUUGGUCAUGGAGUCACUCCUCGAUCCUCUUGAGUCAACAAAGGAAUCAUUACUCUCUGGUCCUGCCAAAAAAAAGAAAAAAUUUCAUACAAAUUAGUCAUUGGCAGCUAGUUGAUAAGUAAUCCUAUCCAACUUCUCAAAUUUCAGCUAUGAAUUUACACAAAAAAUCAUGAAGACCAGUGUUUCUCAUUGUCCAUCUGUGGUGAGCAUAUAAAUCAAGAUUGAUAUGCUGGUUAUUAGUUGGCCAACACAUAACACAUCAAGACAAAUGGUAUCAUUGUUUCACAAGAUACCUCCUUCUGGUGGUCCAUUCUUUCCUUUUUCUCUUUCCAUCAAGGAAAGAGUGUAAGAUCUAGCUAUAUAUGAAUAUAAGGAUCAAAUAAGAUAAGAUGCACAACAAAGUUAUAGAGUAAAAAAUAGCAUGGAAGGGAAACACUGCAGAAUCUAUGAAGAAGCAUUUGGGGCAAAUAAGAUAAGAAGAAAAUGCAUGGCAGAAGGCACAGAUUCGCCAGUGGAUGUGGUGGGUGUCAGGGUGCUGCUAUUUUGCUAUAUAUCUUCAAGGAGACAGCAAUCAUAAGUGAUAGCUGGACGGCAUCUUUCAUGGUGUUCCAAGGUGGAAGAGAAUAAAGUUGACUUGCUGGUAUGAAAACUUGCUAGUGUUCUUUGUGAUCCAAACCUAAAUAAUGCGAAGGUAUGUACAUCUUUUGAAUUAAUAGGUUUAAGGAUCCAAAAUGUAUUUACAUUUUGUCUGAUUACAAGGAAUUAUACUGAAGGAUUUAUAUGGAUCCUGAAUGCAAAACUGCAUGAUAAGUUCAUUGGAUCCAGUAGGACUCCAUCAACACCCUUUCCCUCAUGCAUGCAUAUACAAAUGAUUUGAAACUUGAAAACCUCAUAUCAUACCCCUAAAAUAUGAGAGCAGGAACUCAUGUGGGUCCCAGAAUCCAGGUAAAUUCAUUGUCUAUGAUUCAUUGCAUACAAUUAUGAUUACUUACAUAUUAUUUAUUUAUAUUCCAACAUUAUAAUUUUGUAAUAUUACAUUUCAAUUACUAACAUUUACCUUUUGUUGAUAUUUCAAUAUGGUAAAGGUUAAUCAGCUGCUUCAAAUUAAAACACAUGUGAAAUUAAAUUAUACCUCUUAAUAUAAAUAUUAUUCAAGGAUGAAAAUAAUAAUUAUUCUACUAUUUUACUAUAUUCACACAUGUGAAUCGACAUCAUUGGACUAAUUUUUUACACAUAUUAUUACUUAGCUACCCAAUGCAUUACAGAUAGGCUUUUCAUAAUUUUAUUUAUGCUAUGAAUUUUUCAUGAUUGCCAAAAUAAAAGAAUUAAAUAAUGCAUUCCUAUCAAGUUUGAUAUUUAAUAUUACUUGUAACAAAGGAAAGUGGGUGGCCAUUGAUUGGAAGGACUAAUAUAUGUGUGACCUCAAAGUAUGAUGGUGAAGAAAUAGAUAUCAGAUUAAUUUUGAAGUGUAAGCCAUAACUACAACUGUAACCUUCCAAUGGAAACAGAAAAAGGCAUUUUUUUUAUUAUUUUCAUCAUCAUGAGCAUAUAAAAUUGGUAACACUGAGUUCAAGGGGUUUGUUAAAAGGGGAAUGAAUCAAAUUACUUAGGAAAGAAAAUUUGCUAUGAAUUGAUUAUUUACCAUAUAAUGAUCUUAUCUUUCCAUCCUUGUAACAUUCAGCUGGCAUAUAUUGUUGGUUCAUGUACAAGCAAGACAUGUCACAAAUUCUUGUGUUAGAAGCUAGUAGAUGAUUGUGCAUGAAGAAUUCCUUUCAAGGUGGGUGUGCACACUCCCUACUCUUUACUAUGUUAUUUUUCGUUUAUGCUAUUGUUUUGCUUGAUUUGUGAUUCAUAAAAAUUAGUUCUUUCUGUCAUCUUUUUUCUGCAAAUGAUCAAACUAAAUUUCUUGUCUACAUUAUUUCUUUGUUCUUUUCCUAUGUAGAUCUUUGUUCUAAUCAUUCUCCUUGUUACAUUUCUGUAAAACUUCCGUCGAUUAAUCACGUGAUGUAACAGAUGAUUCCAUAUAUAAAAAUAUCUAUAAUUCGGAUCCCCACAAGUAGGAUGAAUUCUCCAGUUUACCAAAAUUAGAUAUAUUAUGUGCAACACAGAUCACACUUGUGACUAUGCCUAACUUUUAAUACGUUGAUAUUGUUUACCAGCCUCAAAAUAUCAUUUAUUAAUAACUUCAAACUCCAUGGAAGACCACUCGUUUCAUUUACCAGGUUGAUUACUUCCAGAGCAUCAGGUGGCACCUACAAAAUUCUCAAUUCUUCUGUACCAACAAGUUCAGUGUUCUGAUGAUAUGAUCCUUCAUAUUCAACUACAAAACUAUACAUAACAGGGGCCUCAUCAAUUAUAUGAUAAUUGAACUAGUAUAAGUAGAAGAAAACAAAGGUCAUUAUAAAUUUUAACAAGGAGAUAAUUCCAAGAUCACCUUUUAAGAUGUUUUUCUCCUAGUAUAUUUUUCUAGUUUAUCAAAUGGCUGAUAAGAAGCUUAGAACAGAUCUUAUGGAGCAAAGGAGUUACAGCUACCAGUAAUGUGACAGGAUACUCACAUGCAAGCAAGCAUUAGGGGUUCAUCAAAGCAUCCAUAAAAAGGAGAGGGACACUGCUAAAAAAGCCAAAAAAGAUGUGUCAAUCCUCCCACAACUCUCUGGUACAGGUGUUAGAAACCUAUUCCCCCGUACUUCUCACUCCAACAAGAAAAACUACUACAACCAUGGAACAUUUCCAGCAAUGAGCCUGCAGAAUACGGUCCAACUAUAAGAUUUCAAGAAGAAGAAGCACGGAAAGCAACCAUGGGAGGUUCAUUUUCUCUGUUGAAUGCUUGCAAUGUCAAGAAUGGCACAGACCAAGAUGAAGAUAGAAUUGACCUUAAUCUUCAUAUUUGAAUACAGGGAUUAACUCUUUUCUCGUCGAAUAAAAAUAAUCAUGCAAAGUAGUCAUGUGUUUUUCAUUCUUAUAUGGAUUAUAGACAUCCUUCAUGGAUUAUGCCUUUAACUUAUAAUUCCCAAUGCACCUUGAGAUGUAUGUUACUCGAUUCCAUAUUACAAGUUUGUUGAAAAAUCAAUACUACAAUAAUAGUAUUAUAGAUGUCAAUCAUUGUUUUUACUUCUAUGGAUGAACAACUAGAGAAAGAUUCUGAUUGCUCUAUGUAUUUCUUCUUUUCAAACAACUAGUUAAGAUCAUUUUCACAUUAAUUUGACAUGGCUUCUCUUGCUUGAAUAUUUGUUUUAUCACUUAUGAGGUUCUUAUUAUUGAUGCAUUAUGUAGAAUAGAAAUAGAAAUCGAAGAAUUACUUGAUUAGCCAUGACUUAUUGCAAUGCAUAUAAAACUAUUAAACUUGAAUGAACUUGAUGAUUCUUAUUUUACUCUUUUAUUAAAAGAGGCUGUAGAUAUCUACCCUUGAAGAAUUUGGAAAUGUUAUAUUUGCUCCUAUAUGGUCCACCAAAUAUUAUUUCUCUCUAUUAUUUGAUUGUCGUUUGACUAUUAAUUAAAAUUCUAACUGACAUUAAUACCAUGAAGAAGUUGGUUUUAAAAAAAUGGUAAGAAUGCUAGAGAUAUUUAAAAAAAUAUUAUUUUUCUAUAAUUCUUCUUUUCGCUUGAACUAGCUAAUAUUAGUCACAGUUUACAAGUGAGUAACCUAAAUCUUUCUUCUAGAUGGAAGAUAUCAAUUUUUGCAGGGACAUGAAUGAUACAUUAAAAUUUCUAAGAGCAACUAUGUUAUUUGUAAACUUUGCAGAAAUAAAGAUGUAAAAUCCCCUAUUUUACAAAUAAUUAUGUUCAAGUUACAAAGGUCAAGUCAGAUAAUGUAAUUCAUGAAAUGAUAUCCAAACAAUUUUUUUUAUUCUUAUAUAUCCUUUGUCUUUGAUAAAUGAAACAAAAUGACCAUGAUAUCUUCUAAGGUGAGGACUAGCAAGUUUUAAUGGCACUAAGACAUUAUUUUUAUAUGUCAAACUUUAAUAGUUAUUAAUAAGAUAGAUUAUUACCAAUUAAAAGUAUUCUGAGAUCCAUUAACUCCUGAUAGCUUGUUUCUGGUGCCAUAUACUUCUAUAUCAUUUGGAACAUGUAAGAACCUCAUGAACUGAUCUCAAAACAAAUUUAUGUUUCUUUCUUUCAAAGACUAAAUUCUUUCUAUUUGGUGAAUAGGACAAGAUGAUCCAUAUAUCUACUUAAAUGAUAUUUUUGUAUACAAUUUAGUAAGUUUAGUGGCACCAAGGCAAGUUAUUUCUUACCAACAACAAAAAAAACAUGUUUUGAAGAUAGAUCAAGUUGUAUUAAAAAGAAUACUAUAUGACUGUUUUGAGUUUGCAUCUAAGAAGAGGACUACAGUGUUAAAAUCUUAAUUUUCUUGUUCAAUUUUAAGCUUCUUUUGUAAAGGUAACUGAGAUGACUCCAAUUGAAUCAUGUAAGGUUUAAAGAAAACAAGAACAAGAAGAACAUUCUAUGUCACUACCUGAGAAAACAAGGCUACAUCUAGUUCUAAUGUUUCAGCGAGUACACUGACACAGCUAAGAUCUGAAACCAUCCAAAGGACAAGUUUAUUAGAUUAGGACUCAAGAGUCCCGUAUUAUACCUAGCAUCAAGGUUUGCAAUACGGCCUGGUACAGUUCUGUAUGAGGGUAUUUUACUGGUCCAAAAGAGUUACUGGUGCACGGACAGUAUAAACCAGGCAGUACACCUGACACCAGACUUGUACCGAAUGGUACAGGCCCUGUACUGUGCAGUACACCUGGUACAGGAUUGGUAUGACCCGAUAGAGGAUCAAUAUCGUCAGGUACAGUGCAGUACAAGCUAUGUACCAAGCAGUUUCUGUUCUUCAGGCUUUUUUUUUUUAAAACUUGGUAUGUACCUGCCCACCCCGAUAGUUAGUACACUGUUACCAAGCCCUGACAGGUACAAUACCGGUCCAAGUUCUGACUGGUACAGUAUACAAAUUGUGAACCUUGACUUGCAUUACCCUACAAAUUUGUAGUAGAACAAUAUUUCUAGAAAUUGCUAACCAACUAAUCAUCUAAAUCUCCAAUUUCAAGUUAACUUUUACUAUUGAGGUGUUGUGAUCCAUCCUGAUAAGUGGCAGACAGCAGCAGCAUCUUUUAAGAGGGAUGUGUUUGCAAUUAGAUUUCAGCAUCACCCUAUUCAGGAUCACUAAACCAAAUUUGACACAAAUGAUAAAGCUUUUAAUGGAUCAAAUCAAUUUCCACAGCCAGUAUAAUUUCCUGAUGUUUUCAUGUAUAACUAUACCAAAGGCUCAAGCCUCCAAGUGUAAAAACACUUAUGUAUACGUUCAGCUACCUGCUUAAUACAUGAAGCUAAACAUAGAAAAUGGCCUGCUCUGGCAACAAAUCUUACUCACCUUAAAUAUCUCUGACACAACCUUCGGCUCCGCAAUGCCAAGGCUGAACUUUGCCUUCUUCCCUUUUUUUCACCUUUGGAAAAUUAAUCUCCAAGAAGUUCCUCAGCUCCUCGGUAAUAAGCCCUAAUACCGCACCCCCAUAAAAAAAUAUAUCUAAAAUUGCCACAGUUUUAAUUCGGGGCAAAAGGAAUAAACAAAAAAAUCGAUUUUUUUUUUUUAAGCUCACCUUCAGAAAUGGCGUUGCAUUGGUUGAGAGCGUCCAGGGUAAAGGAGAAGGGGUGGAAAGCGACGAGCUUGACGACCUUACCGAAGCGGGUGAGGUCGAGGACGAAGUUGCGGAAGGCCUCUGUGCUCUGUCCGAUCUGAUCUCGUCGACGUCGUAGGCGUGGAACACCGAGUAGCCGGAGACCAAGUACAAAAGGAGGCAGAGCGCCAUGGCCCGAUCGAUCGGACUAGGGUGGUUACAGUGGAGAGAGAGAGAGAGAGAGAGGGAGAGAAGAGAGAGAGAGAACCGGGUGAAGGAUUUAGGGUUUGCAGCCAUUUUCACGUUCAGCAAUACUUUACUUACCCAUGUAUAGUUACCAAACAAAUUACCUUCCUUAUGAGACAAGGGACCCACAUAGCAUUUGAGAGUGAGAAUGAGAGCAACGGGUGAAGGUUUUAGGGUUUCCAGCCAUGUUCACCCGACUCGUUACCAUCCAUAUGAAAGCAGGGACCCAUGUGGGUCCCUCUUGUUCAUUUCAUACAAUGAUUAUUUACGUAUCCAUAUCCCAACAUCAUAAUAAUUAAUAUUACAUUUUAAUUAUUAUCACUUACUUUCUUUUGUUUAUAUUCCAAUUAGCUUAAUCAGCUAUUUCAAAGUGUUUAUAUUUGAAUUUUAGUAGUUGUUUUUGUGGCUAUCCUCAAUUCACUUUGGUAUUGAAUAAGAGUAUGACUCUAUUGAAUAUGAGUGUAACAUUACUCUUUUAAUAUCCUAAUUGGCUCAUAAUUAGACACAAGUCUCUUAAAUUACUCAUCACUAUGCUAAGGGUUUAUAUGAUUAUUUAUUAAUUUAAAUAUAUUUCAAGUGAUUUAUAUUUAUAAUUGGUAUAAUUUCAGUAAUGAUUCUGAAAAUAUUAUUAAUUCUACCUAUUCUACUAAACCCACACAUCUAAAUCUAUAUUCUUAGACUAAUUUUGUUGCACAUAUUAUUACUUUAGUUACAGAAGAAAGAUUCUUCAUAAUUUAAUUUAUGAUAUUCAUUAUCAUGAUUAAUCAUAUGAUUUACUACUUGAGUUGACAAUCAAUAUGUCUUCAAGGACUAGUAUGAGUUUGUGGCCUCAAAUUACGAUUGUGGAUUUGCCACAAUUCCAUAUCAGAUGAACUUAAUUUGAUGUGCAAGAGAUGACUACAAACGUAACCUUUCAAUGAUAACUUGCCAUUUGCAUUAAUAUACUCGGAUAGAUUUGUUCAUAAUAAGUAUGAAACAUAUAAUUGGUAACAAUGAGUUCAAGGGGUUCCUACUAUAGAUAUUGAAAGGGGGAUGAAUCAAAUUACUUAAGGAAACCAAUUUUGCUAUCAAUUAAUCACUUACCAUACAAUCAUCAAAUCCUUCCAUUCUUGUCUUGUUCAGCUAAGCAAGCAUAUAUUGUUGGUUCAUGUAGAGGUAGGAUUGCAUUCACCAGAGAUGCCAUUGUGAGCCACAAACUUCUUUGUUAGAAGCUAAAGGUAGAUACCAUAUGUUUCACAUUAAUUUUCUUCUCUACUAUUGUUUUACUUGAUUUGUGAUUCAUAGCAAAUAGUUCCCUUUGUAAUUUUUCUGCAUAUGAUCUAACUAAAUAUCUUUAUAUAUAUAUAGCUAAUAAUCCUAUAUGUUGCUACUUUUAUGAACAUGCUAGUUAUCAAUGACUUCAAACUCUAUGAAUGGAACACCACUUUUCCACCCACAUAUUUCUUAGUUCUUCAUGUUUAGCUCUUCACAAUCACUUGUAGACCAUUGUAUACUAUGCUUGCUUGUUGUUUGCCACCCUACAUGAUAAACACACUGCAACAGUAACUUCAUCAUUUUUAUUCUUGAUCAUGUAGAAUGAUAUGAUCCAUCAGAUUCAUACUUCAUAUGAUCAUUAAACUGAUACAAGGGGAAGAAAAAAAAGAUGAUCAUGCACCAUAUCAUAUCAUGAUUUUUGAGUUUUAACAAGGGGAUCAUUCCUCAUAUUAACAUGGUUUUUUCACAUUAAAUCUUGCUAGUGUCUGAAAUGGCUGGUAAGAAGCUGAGGAUGGAUCAUACUGAGGGAAGGAGGGGUUUCAGCUGUCAGUUCUGUGACAGGAUAUUCCCAAGCAAACAAGCACUUGGUGGUCAUCAAAAUAGCCAUAGAAAGGAGAGAGAAGCUGUCAAAAGAGCCAAAACUGAUGUGCCACUCUUUCCUGCACUCUCUGGUAUAAAUGUUCAUAAGCUGUUCCCAUUUUCUUCUUCCUCCAACAAGAGAAAGUACUACUGCCUUGGAGCAUUCCCAGAAAACGAGCCUUCAAAACAUGAUCCUACCAUGAGAUUUGAAGAAGAAGACAGACUGCAAACAACCAUGGGAGGCUCAUCAUCCUUGAUGCAUAAUCCUUCUGAUGUCAAAAAUGGUGGAGACCAACAUGAAGAUGAAAUUGACCUUACUCUUCAUCUUUAAUCAUGAGGAUGGACCAUUUUCUAGUCCAAUAAAAUCAAUCAUGCAAAAUAUAUAUAUAUUGUUUUUUUAUUCUUAUAUGGCAGAUAGACAUCCUUCAUGGAUUACUUGUAUUAUCCUUUGAUUCCUGAUGCUCUAUUUGCCUUAAGACAUAUGUUAUUUGAUUCAAUAUUAUGAGUGUACUGAAAAUUGCUACUACAAAUGUGAUGUAUCAGUGUUUUGCUUAUGUGGCUGGAAAAACUAGAGAAAAAAUUUGAGUAUCCUAUGUGUUUCCUCUUCUCAAAUAACUAGUUAAGAUUAAUUCUACACUUAGAUUUAUUUUUGUCACUUAUGAGGUUCCUAGUAGUGAUGCAUUAUGUAGAAUAUAAAUAAAAGCUAAGAAACUACUUAAUUAACCAUGACUAUUGUGAUGCAUAUUAGACUAGUAAACUUAGGUGAAUUUGGAUAUUUUUAUUUUACUCUCUUAUUAAAGGAAGCUCUAUAAAUCUAUCCUUGAAGAGUUUGGAAACAGUGUAUUUGCCCCUAUAGAUUAUAAUACAACACAUAUAUAUCCUACCAAAUAUUAGAGUUUAAUACCCUUUAGAAGUUUAUCACAUGAUGGUAAGAAUGUUAGACAUAUUUGAAAAAAUAAUAAUAAUAAUAUUAUUAUAUUCUUCUUCUUUUAGCUCAAAGUAGCUAAAGUUAGUCACAUCUAUAAAUGAUUAAUCUGAAAUUUUUGGAGGGACAUGUUAUCACCUCAAUUAUGCUAACAUUACAAGAUUAGAGAUGUAAUAUUCACUAUUUCACAAAUAAUUUAGUCCAAGUGUCAAGAACAUUACUAUGACAAAGGGGAUGAUGUGUCAUGCUUUAAUCCUUAUUAUGACUUGUUGAAGCUCUAUUAUAUAUAUAUGUAUAUAUAAUUUCAAGAAGAAAAGUAUAACUAUUUUUGGAGUAUGAAGAUAGAGUUUUAUCAUCAUUCUUGGGCAUGGCCAUGGAUUAAUGUUGGUGAUCUACUACUACUAAACUCUCUGGCACAGGUCAAGGUAACUGUUGUUGUGUUCCUGGGGAUGGUGACCUAUAGUUCACAUGCCUUGUUUCUAGCUUCCUUCUAAGAAAGCCUUGUCUGCCUCUGAUCCUUAUUCUUCCAUCAAUCUUCCUGUAGCUUCUUUAUUAGGUAAAAUAAUGCUCAAUCACAAAAUAUAUUUAUUUGAUUUGAGAUGUCAUUUUAUGUAGAACAAAUUGAUGUAGUCGACUCAAACAUUUAGUUAUGUAUGAUAUGAACGAUGAACUAAUUUAAUUUAGUGGAUUAGUGACUAAUUAAUUUGAUUAGACUCUAUUUCUAUCAGAGUCAAAAUCACAAGCCACGUCAAGUGCCUACCGAUUGAUGGAUGGAGUGAAGACAAAACUGAUUGCACGCAGAGAGAGAGAGAGAGAGAGCGAAUGCGGUGAAGGCGUGUGGCCACAUGGGGCGUGGGACGUGAGGGCGGGGAUCCAUUUAGGCUAAACUGAUACAGUGAGCGCCGCAGCCGUCGGAUUAGGAUCUAAAGGUCGUACGUUGCCCAUGGGCCUUCGCGUACUGCCGGACGCGUAAAGUUUGCGGCGUGGUGCGUUCGAAUUACUUGAGAGGCACGCUUUUUGAAGGCGGCCCCUUGGGUGCGUUCAGGUACCGGUUACGGGGGUUCCGAGAUGCCGGAGGGGACAGCAGACCGCUGACCCUCGCUUCCCGAGAUGUAUAUCUUUAUGCACUCCGAGAGAGAGAGAGAGAGAGAGAGGAGCGGGGUGAUGGAACGGCUUUAAUUCGAAUUCGAUGUCAGUGAAAUGCCUUCCUUCGCAUUGAGUUCCUCGGUGUCGUUCUUCUCCUUCUUCUUGAUCUGUUUCUUCUCCAUCUUCCUCUCUUGAGAGGUACGGUUGCAAGUUGUUCUUUUUUUGGGCCAAGACUGCGAGGAGUUAGAGGUUCAUGUUCGAUUAGGGAAAAUAUCUGAUAUUUGGGUGUAGAUUUUGUUUCUUUUUCUGCAAUUUUUCGAUGGAAAUCUUUUGGAUUUUGUUGUAUGUUCAUGUCUGCUUGUAUUUACUCCUAUCUUUUCCGUAAUUUUUUGGAUUUUUUUUUUCGAGGGUUGGAUCCGCCAUGGUUCUCACAAUUCGCGUUCUAUUUGCCCUUUGGAGGACUCGAUGUUGACGGAGGAAAAGUUGAGUUCUUUGAAGUUAUGUGUUCAGGUUCCACUAUGUUUUCUUGCGUUUUCUGUUGUUUGUUGAUCGGAUCUGUUGGAAUGUUGCGUGCUUUGACUUCCCUUUAUUCUCUUUUGCGGUUGUGUCGGUUGAUCUGAUGUCUGUUUUCUCCGUUGAUGUUCUUAGCGUGACAGGUGAGUGUUGAUUAUUCGCUCCGUCCUCUAUGUUCAAGAAGGCUUUUUUCCUUCGUUUCGCUUGGUUCUCAUUUAAGUUUGAGACAAGUGAGAUACUGCAUUAUGUAUGUUAAAUGCGCAGCUGAUUGUUUGAGAUGAUAAUUAUAAGGCCAAAAAGAUCGUGAUGGGUUAAUCUGAGUGGGUUGGCAGUUGGAUUGACAUGGACUAUUUCAGUUUUUGUGCUUGAGCAUUACUAGUUCUAUUCUGCUUGCCCCUGUCGAGAUGCCUCAUUUGGUCCUUAUUGGAGACUAAUUUCUUGCGCCGCUUCCAUCACUUCUUGACAACCUUCUGAGGCUAAUCAUUAUCGAAAUCUUAAAAAUAGACACUGGGGAAAUAACUACAUACUAUUUGGUCUCCAAUGUUUUUUACUCCAAAUUUCAUGUGCUUUUUAGAGGUAACAAAAAAAAAAGCAAACUGGACUAUUUUUCUCAGUUCUUACACCUUAUAAUUUCAGAAUUAAGAGGCUGUUUUGGUUGCUCACUUGGCUGUGUUAAACACCCUCAAAUUGGCCUAAUGGUGAGAAGAUUGUGCAGAGAUAAGGAAGUAGUCAGACAGCUUCAAUUACUUGUCUUUGUUAUUAAGAGGAAUGAAUUAGUUGGAGCAUAACAUUCUAGUUUAUGCAUAAUGGUUAUUAAGCAUAACAGUUGAUUGUGCUUAUGUAACUUUUAAAUUGAAUUAUAUAAUUAUUAUUUAACAAUUUUCUUCUCAAGGCACCAGCUAGAUCAGGAUGGACUUAUCUGAAUGAUCUAUUUUGCCUAUCACCUUUGAACAAUGAUCAUUGUUUGAUUUAUUAGUAAUACCGCAUACACUUUGGCUUGUUCCUAUGUAUUGUUCGCUUCUCUUGAUUCACAUUCAAUACUAACUUAUUUCAUACAAACAAAGUUGACUGGCUGACUUGGUUAAUUAUGUAAACAGGGCACGGACAAGGGGCAGUAGUAUCUCCUUAUGGCACUUGAUGCUACUUACUAUGAUGAUAUGAGUCUCAACCCUGAGGUUAUUGAUCCUUCUAAAAAUGAAGAUAUGGUGGAAGUAAGUGAGCAUGUUAAUGACCAUGUUCAGCACUCACCAAAGCCGAAUAUUUCUGUUGCCAGCAGUGUGCGUGAGCUUUUAGAAUGUCCUGUAUGCUUAAAUGCCAUGUACCCUCCUAUUCAUCAGGUCUGAUUUAUAUAUGCCUCCCUUUUUUUGCAUUUUGCAUUAUUCCAUAACAAUAAUUUUUUUAGUUAUUCUAUUGUGUCUGAUCCAAUACUUUUUUUAUGGAUUUUAUUCAAAAUUAAUUAUUGCACAAAAUCUAAUUGUGUUGCAUUGUUUUAUUUUGAUGGUCAUAAGACAAAACUGAUAUAACUUUUCACCUAUUUGAAUUUGGAUUUCAUCAAUCGCUUCCACCAUGUACUGCAGUACCAAAUUCCCACACAUAUGCUUGAACAGUUUUUGCUUUUAUCAUGUCAUUGUUAUCAUAGAUUAAGGAUUUGGUUACUCACUAAAUAUAUAAAGUCAUACCAAUCCAUUGACUAAAGUUGAUGACUUCAUGGUAUCUUGAUGAAUAGUAUUCUAUUUUCUAUUCGUGAUCCUUGAACUAUACUUCAUUUAGGAGCUCUUUUUUAGUGAGUUUAAGGUAAAAGAUCUAGGAUUAAAUGCAACAAAAUUUCUCAUUGCAAUAGCCUUGGAAUGAGAACAUAAGAUACCUUUAUUUCUUCCUAUGAAAUAAUUAAAAUUAUGCUAUACAUGGAAGUCUUUUAUAAUGAUAACUACCUUUUUGUUUGUAUGCAGUGCUCAAAUGGUCAUACUUUAUGUUCUGGAUGCAAACCUAGAGUUCACAAUCGAUGCCCCACUUGCAGGCAUGAGUUGGGUAAUAUAAGAUGUCUCGCAUUAGAGAAGGUUGCAGCAUCUCUUGAAUUGCCCUGCAAAUAUCAAAGCUUUGGUUGUUUGGGUAUAUAUCCAUACUACUGCAAACUGAAACAUGAAUCACAGUGCAUAUUUAGGCCCUACAAUUGUCCCUAUGCUGGAUCUGAGUGCACAGUUGUUGGUGACAUUCCUUAUUUGGUGACUCAUCUAAAAGAUGAUCACAAGGUCGACAUGCACAAUGGAAGCUCCUUCAACCACAGAUAUGUUAAAUCUAAUCCGCAUGAGGUUGAAAAUGCAACUUGGAUGCUGACGGUUUAUCUCGUGAUCCCUUUUCUCAUUUCCACUAUAAGAAACUGCAGCUUGUUUUAUGUUUGUUUUCUAUUCCUCUUAUUUUUCUACAUGUUCUUUUUGUACUAUUAGGAAAUUGUUUGCUGGGUUAACAUUACAAUUAAAUCAGUCAUAUUGUAUUCUCCUAUUUUCUUGGGCUAGUGGUCAUGCAGUUCUUGCAAUUUUAGGAAAGCUUCAUAAGAUCAUAAUGCUUGGUUGGGUUACUAGCUUUCUCAAUUAACAUUUAUAAUUAUAUGAAAAUGACUUUUGACAAUUUAGUCAGAUCUAAUAGCUUUCUCCGAUUCUUCUUCCAAUUUAUUUGCGGAAUAUAUAUAAUUUCCUACAGCCUAAUUACUGUCAUGAACUGGGUGCUCUGUUUAGACAUAGUUUCUCAUCAUUAUAGUCCUGCCAAUUUUAUAAUGUCAGUUCUCUGCAUCUAAAAACACAAUAUCUGAGGUGCAUAGUACCAAUGUUAAGGUUGAAAUUUCAUCCAUGAAAUCAAAUUAUUACAUAUUUACUUGUCAUGCUUUAAAGCUAAUAAGACAUUUUGUGUACAGAUAGCUAUUUUUUAUGUGUUCCUGUAUCUAAUCUAGAAAACAUGGAGGCUAUUAACCAUGCCUUGCCAUCCAAUUCAUUUCUGACACAUCUAUGGGUGAAGAAAAAUCAUCACUGCUUAUAUUGUGUUAUAACUAUGACAUGAGCUCUUACAUACAGAGUAGGAAGACACAAGGUAUUUCCAAAAAGAUGGCAUAUGAAAUAAGUACAUGUUCUUGAUCAUAAUGUGGUCAUACUGCUGCCAAAAUAUUGCUACAAUUAAAACAACUAUUACUCAUUUCAUGUGACUGACUCUUGCCAUUCAAUGGAUGGAAAAUAUGGGCUGGUAUGUUUACUUAAGUCCAGGAGUCAUUACUAUGCAACUUUAGUGGUAUCUCCAGGAUAGGCAAACAUAAUUGUGAUAUAAUGCUUUUGUUCCUUGUAUAAUCUUCAUCAUCAUGUAAGCUUUGUAGGGGCUUUAUUAGGACCAGCAAUAGUGAUUUUGUUCUCUAAAACUAUCAGGUUCACAGAAGUGAUAGUUCCUAAUAUUGAAUUUCUAAAGAAAAUGAAAAAGGUUUACUUCUCAUUGGUUAUGAUUGUAAUAUUGGUUAGGUUCACACUAUGAAUGCUUGUGUCUUGGGUACUAGAAUUUCCAAAUGGUACCAAUGUUUUUGAGUUUCUUGGAUCUACUGGGAAAUCCCAUAUGUGCAUGCAUGUGAGAGGGAGCUUGUUUCAUGAUUUUCUGAGGAUGCAGCUGUUGCUGUAAAGCUUUUCAAAAUAUCUCGUCUUUGUUGAUUAGGUUCCCUAUAGCAUAUUCUGGAUCAUUUGUUCAUAUUUGUGGACUGAACGAAACAAUGUGGCAUUUUAUCUAGGUUUUCAGUUGCUUUGGACAGUUCUUCUGCCUUCAUUUCGAGGCAUUUCAGCUGGGUACAGCCCCUGUAUACAUAGCAUUCUUGAGAUUUAUGGGGGAUGAUAAUGAAGCUAAAAACUACAGCUAUAGCCUCGAGGUUGGUGGCUAUGGAAGGAAGAUAAUUUGGCAAGGUGUGCCUCGAAGCAUAAGAGACAGCCAUCGGAAGGUGAGAGACAGUUACGACGGGCUUAUCAUCCAGCGAAAUAUGGCUUUAUUUUUCUCUGGAGGGGAUCGGAAAGAGUUGAAGCUGAGGGUAACUGGGAGGAUCUGGAAGGAACAGUGAAUAUAUAAUUCUCUGUUGCAAUCUCUUUUGCUUUCGCUAUGGAUUGCUAGAGUAUUGAGUUCUCCGAGUCUCUCUAGAUUUGAAUUUUGGAGGGAGGUUAAGUAUUAUCAGCAGCAAAAUUUCUUUGCUCGGUUGAUGUUUGAACUUGCUUAAAAUGUAUGAGAACAUCUUUUAGGCUAUAAAUUCUACACCGUAGUUGACAAAUCCUAGUUGCGUCAUGUUGAAUUUGUCCUAUAUAUUUCUCUUCUUUUCUUUUUUUUUGUUUUUGUCCCAUGGAAGUUAAGCUAUGUUGUGGUUAAUUAUGCAAUCCUGAGUCAUAGUAAUGUAUAAAUCAUAGAUCAUGUGAGUUCCAUUUCAUUAUCAGAUGACUUUUUCAGAGCUCAUUGUCAUUUCUCUUCCUGUCAUGGAAAGCCUAUUUAUUCUAUUGACAAAAUGAUGUUACUUGUGUGUGUUCCUCUCAAGGAGAUAUCUUUGUGAAGUCUCGUCAUGAGGUGUUGUGCUACUCGAAAAAAGUUGAUCUUACAUAUGGGAGAUCUGUAUAUUUGCAUGAUAAUAUUCAUUGUCUAUGGUUUGUAUAUUGAAUCUUGACAUACUGCUGUCUGAUCCUUCCUGCCUGAGAAACCCAAAGAAGCAUAUAUUUAUUUUUCUAGAUUCAUAUAACAUGAACAGUAAAAUUUUCAAGAUUCAUACAUUGUUCAAUGAGUUUUCCCUUUCUGAAUUUAGUGUAUUUGGCUCAAUAAGCUGCUACAAUAAAUUUCAUAGAUCUUAGUACAUUUGGGAAAAUGAAUAAAAAGGAAAUGAUUUUAUUAUACACAAAAAAUAAAAUUAGAAUUUUAAAAUCUUCAUCAAAUAUAUUUCAGUAAAUAACAACAAAAAAAUGUUCAUGCACUAUGGCCUAAUUGGUUAAGCUGCUACAAUAAACCUCAUUGAUUUUAGUAUAUUUGGAAUAAUCAAAAUAAAUAAUUUGAUUAUAUUGAAAAUCUAAGGAAUUCAAAUCUAAAAAAAUUUCUACUAUAAUAAAUAUCAUAGAUUCUAUUAUAUUUUAAAAAUGAAUAAAAAACAAAAAAAUAUUUAUUUUAUUUUGUUAUAAUAAAUUUCGUAUAAAUAAAAAAUAAAAAUAAAAAAUCUAAGGAAUUAAAAUCUAAAAAAAAAAUCUACAUAAAAUUAAAUCGCCUACCAAGUCUCAAUAAAUCACUACAAUAAAUUUGGUAGAUUUUAUUAUAUUUUAAAAAUGAAUAAAAAAAGCAAAAAAUUGGUUAAAUGGACAACAUUUAAUUAAAAACCAAAUAUAAUCGCCCACCGUGGGGCUCGAACCCACGACCACAAGGUUAAGAGCCUUGCGCUCUACCGACUGAGCUAGACGGGCUUAUAUUACCGAUUUGCUUACGUAAUAUAAUCAAAUAAUAAUUAAUACCACUAAGAUAUAUAUAAUUGCAUGUCCCAAAGUAUUAUCCAAAUAUGUUCAGUGGAGAAACAUCUACUGCAGCCAUUACAUCAAAAUAAAUGGGAUUUUUGCCAAAUAAGAGGAUCUUAUAUCUUAACUCUCAUCACAUAGAUCUAUAAAUGGCCUUUUGCAUCAUUUAUUAGCUCAUUAAAAGCACUAACUAUACUGUAAUUUAGCUGCUGUAUUUUUAGCAGAAAGAGAGGAAUGGCAUCCUAUUUCUAUGUUUUUCUCUUCUACUAUCACUGGUCUUGUUUUCUCUCUCCAGAAGCAACCAUCAAGAAAGUAGAAUGAUAAAGAGUUAGCAAACCAUUGUGGCAAUCUGGCGCUGCAACUUAGCUGCUCAAGAUAGAUACAUUAUGGCUCCAGCAAAAACAGUAUGAUUCAGCAAGCAAAGCAUGCAUCCUGGUUUGCAGUACAAUUUAACGUCAGUGAUUAUUUCUACUGUAUGUGUUUGAAAAUGACUUCAAAACGCCUGUCUUUUUAGCAUCCAAAAGCUUUACAUCAAUCAAAUUUCAGUUCAUCGAUGAUCACUUUGGUGAGUCUGUGAUUUCUUCAACACUAUGUGGGGAUCCAUGUUACUUAAUUGGUGGGAGUUUUAUGCCAAUACUAUAGUCAGUAGGUCCAAUGGUGCCUUGAGAGAGAGAGAGAGAGAGAGGAAACAAGCCAUUUGACAAAGGUUGAAGGAAGGUGAUGGUCAAUAUUUUUUAUAUUAAUUGGCAGAACCAUCAGCUUCUUUGAACACUUUUGAUUUGUAAAGGAGACCCCUAUCCUAAUGGCAUUUUAGGAACCCUUUCAUUAAAAAUAUUACAAUUAUUCUAAACAACAUUAUUAACACCUAAUAAGACAAAAGUAUUCUAAUCCAAAAUGAUUCAAGUAAAGACUAGUUUUGUUGGGGUGUCAUCACAUAUAGGCAUGUGUGCCCCAUGCUUCCCAUUUGGUUGCAGUUGCCUUUAAUUAAUUACUCCAUUGUGUCCCCUAUAAUUUUUUUUUGAUGUAUAACAAUGACAGUGCAAGGGACCCACCAUACCACGUGCCUUGAAAUCAUCAUGACUUAUAGUGACAGAUUGAAUCUAAAAUAUUUUGAAACAGUAUAACCUAUCCAAAAUCUCUUUAAAAAUUUUAUCAUUAUAAUGGAACUUGUUAAAGAUACCAAUGAUAUCCUAGCAUUCAAAUGACAUAAUUGAUGGAGAUUAUAUAUAUAUAUAUAUAUAUAUAUAUAUAUAUACACACACACACACACACAAAUGAAAACUUUGAAGUACUUAUGUAUGUAUAUAAGUGUUGGAUUUUGAAUAGAAAUAUUGGUGUAUGCUAAACAUAAAUUUAGAGAUAUUACAGGAAAAUUACUAACAUUGGAGGAAUAUGUACACAUGUAUAUACAUAUUCACCUUAGAAUGUGGAUAUGGAGUUGAUUUUUCUUAUCAAUCAACCUUUUUGCAACUUUACUGUGUUGUGCUACUGUGUCUGUAAGAUGUGUGUCAUCCAAGGUCUGGAAUGCUUUGAUGUUACAUCUCAUGCCAUCCUUUAGCUUGGAUGAUGAUUGGCUCCAAAGGGCACAACUGCUGCAACAACAGUGCAUGACAGCAUGACAAUGAGAUAUUACUUCCAAUAUAGUUGAUUGCACACAAUUUGAGGUUAAAGAAAAAAGAAUAAACAUGGCAGCACAAUGCAUGAGAUCUCUGCUGAAACCAAAAAAGGCUAUUUUAUUGAGCCAAACAUAAUCUUAUCAGAACACAUGGAAAUAAAAGAGAAGUAUUGUAUCAGGUUGAGAAUCAAAUUAAAUAUUGCAUAUGUACUCAAUGAAAAUUAUCACUUCUAUACUUUUCAAAUAUUAUAAUAAUACAUGAGAAAAGAUUUACAUAGUUGAUUCUAAAUAUUAAACUAGUACAUGAGAAAAGAAUCUCUUAAGACUUGGGAUGCAAUGAGAGGAACUCUUCUACAUGCAUAUGCCCCCUACUGACUUGGAUUUUGUUGAUUACUUACACUACAAGUGUUUGAUUGUCCAAGCCAAUUUUGUUACCAGAUUUGAUAUAUCCAAGCUGUUAGGAAAGUGUUAGUGGUAAGAUUUCAAAAAUUUAUGUGAUUUUUGAAUCAUUCUUUACCAAGCAAUAAUGCAUAAUAUGUGUCCAUGAAAUUCUUUCUAGCAAUUAUCUUUUAAAAACAUUUGAGAUUUUGAAUAAUCUUCAUUACCCUAAUUGGAACAGAUAUUAUUUGAAAGUUUUUUUUCCACUUUUUUCUUACGACCUCAAAUGAGUUCAUGCAGAGGAUCAACAUACACAGUCUUAUCCGCAGUUAAAUAGUUUCUGUACAUGAGCAUUCUUCAUCCAUAUAUUUUGGUACACAAGCACUAGGUCAGACAAUUGAUAAUGUUCUGUUGAUCAUAGACUAAUGAUGCUGGACCAGCACAGAGAUUGCACAAUUAAAAUAUGUUUAUUGUUUUCAAUUAGACAACUCUGUGAGUCAUAACAGGAAUAGUGAAACUUUUUGCUCACUGAUUCCAAUGAUUAGUGGCAAAAGUAAGGAGGGAAAGGAAUAAAAAAAACCUAUAAUCAGAUGAUACUUGUACAACCUGCUGGUUAUAUGGCACCAAAUGGUACAAAGAGUGUGUGGAACUUUAGUGUGCUUAAAUGGAAACUUGCUGAUGAAAUGGAACCCUAAUGGUCCUUGUCAUGUCAGAUCUGAUGAUCUUCCCAUCUUUCUAUGAAUAUAUAUCAUGCAAAGUAGGGUUAGCAUUUUGCAUCAACAGUAGCUAUUGUUUUGUCUACAAAUCCCAUGAACACUGUAUUUUCUGAGUGUCAGCUAAUGAAGACACUAUUUAGUGUACAGUUCCAAAUAAUGACAGCUCCAGAAUCAUGUCUGCCACAUUACUGUGAGUUAUAAGCUUGGAUUUGAUGUCAAAUAAUUAUCCUGAAGUAAGAAGAAGUUGGCAAUGAGCAUGUGGUUGGAUUGUGUAAAUAGAAUACAAUUGUCUUAAAUAUAAGAAAGUUUCCAUUGGGAGUUUAAAUCACAGAGGAAGAGACUCAUCCCAAGUACAAUAUAUAUCCAUAAAUCAUAAGUAUGUAUCAAGAACACAUGAUUUUUAUAUUGUAGCCAAAAACAAACUCUAAAGAAAGUUUAGCAUUACUGAAGAUGUUCAGAAAAUCUAAAUCUGAAGGAAGUUUAGCUCCCAAAUCAGGUGAAGCAGAACACUGCUUCAGCUUCAGAAAGGCUUCAGUUAACUCUUAUGCAGGCAAAAAAAAAAAACUGUGGAUACAGUGUAAGACUCCUCUUUUGGAAGAUUGCUCCACUUGAAGUGUUAAAUCACCUUUUUAUUGCUUUCAUUGUUAGAGAAAGUCACUAAAUGUUGAGAAUCUGGUCUGGGGGCAGUUUGAUAUGAAAUUGAUACUGUAAAUGACUGUUUCUUCAGAUCUGCAUGAUGAAAUGACUUUUGUUUGUACGCAAUCCUUUAAUAACAUCUGAAGAGAACAACUGAGACUGACUUGUGCCUUCACAUCUGCAUAUAUGAUAGGAUGACUUUGUUUAUGUACCAUUCUAAGAGGAAAAUAUUCCUUAAUUGCUAGCAGAAAUGAUCCUUAUAUAACAUCUGGAUAGAGCAAAAUCAAAGAAUAUUUCGGAAAACCAAAACUAAUGUGCAGGUGUGGUUCAGUUGAUUAACCUCAAGAAUAAAUUUUCUGCUGGCUUCAGGAUAGAAGACACUGUUAUCAAAGGAUCAUUGAUUCAGCAAUGCCAAUUGCCUGCAAGCUUGCCAAGCUAAAGACUUCUCUGUGUUAGUAGGAGGGUUGUCAUGUAGCUUGUUUGAGGAACUGUGAGCAGUAGUUUAUUGAUAGAGGUUUGGAAUGGCAUGAUUAGGUCUUUCUCCUGUUUAGACUACCAUUUUAAAUGCUUUUAGUUGUGCAAAAAAAAGCUCUCUACCAUUUUCAAGAAAAUAGCUCUUUGCCAAUCCAUUUUUGGGAGAUGAUCCAAGUAUUAUUAUUGGGUCCAAUGCAAGUGACAUUUAGGAUCUCAGCUUUCAAGUUCCACAUACACAAACUUAGUUCCUAGUAUCAGCCCAAACUCCGAACUUUAUAGAUAUUGACUCAGGAGAUUAUACCAUGACAUUCCUAACAGCCAUGUUUACACAUGCAACAUGACUUGCCAGGUAAACAUAUCCAAUUACAAGAAUUAAGCAUAUAAAACAUGUAAAAAGUCACUUCUUCCAGAUCUAAAGAGAAAACAAUCAAAAUUACAUGAGACUCAAUACAACAUGCCAGGUUCUCUUCAGCUGCAAGAACAGCAACUCCUAAGAUUUUCCUUGUAGGUACAAUCAAGAAACAUCAGUGACAUCUAUCUUGUCUCUGUAAACCUUCAUCCAUUUCUAAGCAAACAAAUAUAUUCCAUCAAGCAUUAUUUUCUCUCUAAGAUUAUUCUAUGCAUCUCUUUGUUUGGUUUCUAGACCACCUUAUCUUCCUCCUAGUCCCGAGCAGCCAGCCGAUCUAAAGCUAAUGGAAUUGUGUUAUCUGGAACAUCAGUGAGCUAAUUUUAUUAAGUCUGAUCUGUACUAAUUCUUGCCAAUGAAAUGUCCUCUUGAUAGCCAGAAUAACACCAAAAGAUGGUACUUCUUCACUUUCCAAUUUCAUGCAGAAAUAGAACUGACAAUUUUCCUCAGGUUUAGCAGGUUCCUCCACACCCUGCUGCAACCUUGAUCUACUUCUGGACCACAACUCAGAAUUGAUUGGCCUCCGCAAAGGAUGUUAGAGUGUUACAUCUUCUUAAGAUGCCUUCUUAAUGUACCUUCAAAGCACUUCCAUGCUCUUCUUCCAAAAGGGAGUUCACUCAGGGACCAUUAACUUCUUAAUAUUCCUAAAGGACAGGAACCGGAUUUAGAGACCGAGCAAUGCUUGCAGACAAAUGGCAGGACAUGUAGUUUUGUGCCAGUGAUUCAAUCACAUCAAAGCUGACUCUGAUCAUGGAGAAGCUUAUGGAUGUUGACUUUUGAACAAGACUGAUGUCAAACAGAAAGGUGAGCAAAUUGCUAUCAUAAAAAUGACUUGGGAUUUGCUGAUAUGUUUUGUUUAGAUGGUGAAGAUGCCUUGAUAAUUUGUCCAUUUGCAUGCAUGGAAAUUGUCAGGGGUAAUAACACAAACACAAAGAAAGCGUGGGGAUCAAAAGGGAGUCCACAAGCCCAAAGGAAGCCGAGAGAGACCGUGGGGAGUGGACAACGUACGGUACCAAAAGAUGAGGCUACCCAUACAGAGUAUAUACGUACGUGUUUAGGUGUAUGUUACGUCGGUGAUGGGAAAGAGAGGAAAGAAGGGACACGGAGACACACCUCUUCCGGCACACGAACGCCCAGUUGCAGUGAGGGGUAGCAGCAAAAGCAUGGGAUGGGAUGGGAUGGAGGAGUGAGGUGGUGGUGAAGCGAGGAAUGACAAGUCAACUGUCACUUCCCACACCUCAAAUCAUAAGACUGUCAGCGAUGCGUCAAUCACUGCGAUUUCCUCCGCUCCUCUCCUCCCCCCUUUCUCGCUCUCACCAUCGUCGCUUCUCGGUGCGCGAGUCUGCCCCCAUGCAUCGCACAGGCACAAGGACUGGCGCUUUCCCAUGGCGCAGCGAGGUCCGCACGAGGGGAGCGAGCCCCUCGGCACGCGCGUGGCCACGGUCAAGGCGUGGUGCAUGGCAUGGCCACGGCCACGGCCACCGCCACGGCCGCUGCUGCCGCUCCCCCCCUCCCUCUCUCCCCACCCCCCACCCCCCCCACCCCCUGUCCCUGUCUGCACGAGUCCCCAUAACUGUAGUGGAAAUUAAAAGACAUCGGCCCGGACGCGAAGCACGAUGCCGAGCUCCCCUCAGUAAGCCCCAGUCUUUUCCUUUACUCUCUCUGCGUCUCUCUCCCUCCCUACCUACCAAGUCUAUGUCUUCAACCCCCCACCUCCCCCACUCAAGUUUGAACAACAGCUGCUACAGUGCUUGCUGAAAGCAGUUCGAGCAUGGAACAUGGUGACAAGAAUAUAGCCUUUGGGAUAAUAUCCAUCUGGUGGUUUGUGAGGCAUAGGGAGGAAUGGUUUACUUUUAUACGCACUCGAAGAGAGAUCCGACAUGGGCCAUCAGAUGUUGCAAUCAGUGGGAGGAAGAGAGGAGAGGAAGAUUGAAUGGAUCCAUUGCAGAGUGGGGCAGCCAUUGGAGUGCUUGAAGCCGAGAAUAUCUCUGAACUGUUGUUAGGUUUGUGGGGUCGUGCUUGAUGUCGACCUCUCAAUGCAAAGGUUCCCCAAUGAACACCUCCGGAUUUAUUUACCAACAUAUGUGUGUGUGUGUGUGUUGUGUUGCGCAGAUGAAUCAGCUCUCAGAGUUACUGCUUUUACUGUUGCAAGGAAUGCUUUCGCCUGGAACUCUCAUUGACCUGUUCUUGGUCCUAUCAAUGAAUACUCUGCGGAGAAGAAGAGGAUGAUCGACUAAUAUUGAAGUGGGAAAUAAUUGCACAGACAAUUAGCAUCUGAUAGAGAGUCCAACAAAGGUUACAGCUCAUUGUCUUCUUCAAUGAACCUCUAAGAACAUAAAAAAUAGUACUGGCAACCAAUCAAGUGAUUGAUUUGGUACAACAUGAAUGGUUGGUUUAUAUAUAGGUGGAGUGGUAGUGAGCUGUUUAUGUUCAUGCAGGAAAGCUGCUUAUUAUGAGAUGAUGUGAAAAAUCUAUCUGAAAAUGAUGUGUGGAAUAAUUAUAUCAACCACUGAAGAAAAUGAGAUGCUUUGACAGCCAGUUGUCAUGUAAAGUGUCAUUCGAUCAUGGCUUCUGUGAUUUCUCCUCUCAGAACACUAUAUCUCCAUCCAAUUUCCUCUUCUUACCUCCUCAAUUAUUUUAUAUGCCCCAGCCGCCCACCACAUCCAUCCAGAUUGCUCUCUUUCUCUUUAUCUUUCUCUUUCUCUGUCAUACACAUACAUAGAUCACCUCUACUCUCUGUUCUCUCUCUCUCUCUCUCUCUCUCUCUUCCCAAAAAGAGAUAUCUCAACCCAUCACGAGCGCACAAGUAUACAGAUAGAAAGAACAACAGGAACCAGAAGUAGCAGCACUGAAGCAGGAGCAACAGGGGAUAUGAAAAGAAAAGAGGUCAGAAGGAGAAACCCCCUCCUCUCUCUCUCUCUCUCUCUCUCGCUCUCUUGGCACUACUGCUUCUGCUACUCUUCUCUCUUGCUCACCUCAGUAGCUCUUCUAGCCUGACAAAGCUUUGUCUUCCAGAAUCAUGAUCAGAUGUAGUUCUGAACCUUAAGCUAUAGAAAGGAAGGGAUCAGAAGAGGACAGGGGGGAGGGAGGAAAGGGAAGAAGGAAAGCAUGGAGGAAGCACUCAAGUCCCUCUCCCUGGACUACCUCAACCUGCUCAUCAAUGGCCAGGCCUUCAGCGACGUGACCUUCAGCGUCGAGGGCCGCCUCGUCCACGCCCACCGCUGCAUCCUGGCCGCCCGCAGCCUCUUCUUCCGUAGGUUCUUCUGCGGCACUGAGCCGCCACCGCCGGGCCUGCUGUCGUCGCCGAGGGGCGGAGCGGCGUCCCCAGGGGCCACCGGCGCCGGCGUCGUCAUCCCCGUGAACUCGAUCAGCUACGAGGUGUUCCUGCUGAUGCUGCAGUUCCUGUACAGCGGGCAGGUGUCCGUGAUGCCGCAGAAGCACGAGCCCCGCCCUAACUGCGGCGAGCGCGGCUGCUGGCACACCCACUGCACCGCCGCCGUCGACCUCGCCCUCGACACCCUGACCGCCGCCCGC
rnacentral:lncRNA from 1 species